rnacentral:rRNA from 1 species
CCUACGGGGGGCAGCAGUCGAGAAUCAUUCACAAUGGGGGAAACCCUGAUGGUGCGACGCCGCGUGGGGGAAUGAAGGUCUUCGGAUUGUAAACCCCUGUCAUGUGGGAGCAAAUUAAAAAGAUAGUACCACAAGAGGAAGAGACGGCUAACUCUGUGCCAGCAGCCGCGGUAAUACAGAGGUCUCAAGCGUUGUUCGGAAUCACUGGGUGUAAAGCGUGUGUAGGCUGUUGCGUAAGUCGUGUGUGAAAGGCGCGGGCUCAACCCGCGGACGGCACAUGAUACUGCGAGACUAGAGGAAUGUAGGGGGAACCGGAAUUCUCGGUGUAGCAGUGAAAUGCGUAGAUAUCGAGAGGAACACUCGUGGCGAAGGCGGGUUCCUGGACAUUAACUGACGCUGAGGCACGAAGGCCAGGGGAGCGAAAGGGAUUAGAUACCCGGGUAGUC